rnacentral:rRNA from 1 species
GACGAACGCUGGCGGUGUGCUUAACACAUGCAAGUGGUGCGACGAACCAGAGCUUGCUCUGGGGCAAAGCCGCGAACGGGUGAGUAACACGUGGGUAAUCUACCCCGAUGACCGGGACAACCCGAGGAAACUCGGGCUAAUACCGGAUGUGGGACGGAGACAUAAGUCUCUUCACUAAAGGUAGCUUCGGCUUCCGCAUUGGGAGGGGCCCGCGGCCCAUUAGCUUGUUGGUGGGGUCAAGGCCUACCAAGGCAACGAUGGGUAGCUGGUCUGAGAGGACGAUCAGCCACACUGGGACUGAGACACGGCCCAGACUCCUACGGGAGGCAGCAGUGGGGAAUCUUGCGCAAUGCGCGAAAGCGUGACGCAGCAACACCGCGUGAGGGAAGAAGGCCUUAGGGUUGUAAACCUCUUUCAGAGGGGACGAAGGUUCUCCGGUGAAUAGCCGAGAGGAUUGACGGUACCGGCAGAAGAAGCUCCGGCUAACUACGUG